CAGUUGUCCUGCCAAGGGCAUGGCUGGGUAGCUAUGUACGGAAUGGAUAAGCGCUGAAAGCAUCUAAGCGCGAAGCCAACUUCAAGAUAAGAUUUCCCACCGCAAGGGUAAGACCCCAGAAAGACUAUCUGGUUGAUAGGUCGAAGGUGUAAGUGCAGCAAUGUAUUUAGCUUAUCGAUACUAAUAGGUCGAGGACUUGACCAAU
rnacentral:rRNA from 1 species